CCAACUUCCAAGAGUGAAAAUCUGUCACGAUCCUUGGCUCCACGAUGAGCUUUGUCCCUUUUCCUCCAUUGAGGAGCUUGUGCUUCUCCUCCUCAGAAUCUUCCAUGGAACCCUAGCUGAGCUCUUCAAUCCUUUGUUUUGGUGGAAGCUCAGCUCAUCUCUCCCAUCUUCAACGACUGUUUGAAUUUUUGGCUAGAUAAAGGUCAGGAGUUGGAAACUCGACAAGCUGGUUGUUUUGUUCAUGGUGUCUUCAGUUAUCGCCGCCGCAUGCAGUCGCUUAUUGGUUGAAACAAUCUUCUCCUUCGCAAUCGAGACACAAGGAAUCUUAUGUGUAUCAAUGAGGCAGCAUUGUCACGACCAAGACACACAAUCAAGGAAUCUUAAUUUUGUUGUUGGUGUGGGGUGUUGCAUAUGUGUGUUAUCUUAAAUAGUCAAUAUACUCAACAAAUUCUUCAAUAACUGAAUGAGGUCCUUCUACUGUCUUCAAGUUUCUUUAAUAACAGCGCAUCUGGUCUCGAAAGAUUACAGGCCCUGUGUAUUCUUGAGUGCCAUAGGGAGAGUAACUUGUUUCGUACUCCACAAGUUUGACAAAUCUGGAGUAUUUAAAUCUGGAUUCAUGCAAGAUAGGUGAUGAUGGGCUUGCUAAUUUUACAGCUGAGUGGUGUUAAUUUGGUGAUUACUUGCUUUUCAAUGACAGAGGAAUGGAUAUCAUAGGUCAAAACAAGGAGAGGAUUCUUCUUACCAUUUUUGUACUUUUGUCUAGUUUUUCCUCCCUCUUUUGGAUUGCCAACGUUUAUAUGUGGUCUAAAAUAAAUCUUGUAAGCUAUAUGCAAGACCAUGCGAAAACUAAGAUGAAGAGUUCUGGAAUGCCUUGGCCGGGUGAUGAAGGCGAACAAUGCUGGGAACAAGCAUGGAAAGCUAUAAAAAGCAAGUGGAGGUACAACUUCUGGGACCGGAAGCUUGGAUAAUCCCAAAGAAAAUGCAACGGAUCGUUCCUCCUAAAGUAGCUUUGUUUCUAUGGCAAACUUCUGCAAACAAAAUUGCGGUUAAACAUAAUCUAAUGGCUCGAGGGGUUGUAAUUGAGAACGAAGGUUUAUGUAGCAGCUGUGGGAUUGUAAUCGAGACAACGGGUCACCUUAUGCUGUCAUGUACAUAUUCAUGGAAGCUGUGGUAUGCUGUCAUGUCAAGGGAAGGUGUGCUAUGGUGCUGUCCAGAACAAGUUAAAGAUCUGCUAAUGGAAUGGCCUUUUUUGCAAUCCAAUUCUGAUUCAAUUCUCUGGGAUCUAAUUCCGUAUUCGCUGUGCUGGUCCCUGUGGAUUGUGCGGAAUAAUGUUAUUUUUCAGAAUGCUCAAUCCUCAAUGGAAUCCACAUGGGAUUUGCAUAUUGUGAGAAUCAUGGGAUGGAUGAAGGCAUGGUAGAAAGAAUGCCCGUACUCAGCUGUGGAUUUCUCUUGCAACUUCGCUGACUUGAGGGUGAAUAAAUCUCUGAUUAGAGUAAGGCCAAAAAUCUGGUUUCCACCACCGACGGGCUUGAUCAAGUUUAACGUUGAUGGCUCAUCCCAAGGGAAUCCGGGCAAGAGUGGAAUCGGUGGGAUUCUGAGAGACUUGAGCAGGAUACAUAGAGGUUACUUUUCCUUGGCUGUAGGGGAAUUAUGGGCCUUUGAGGCGGAGGUCAAAGGAAUUCUAGCAGCUCUAAAGUUUUGUAAAGAAUUUCAGCUCAAACAUCUGUUAAUUGAAAGCGAUUCUGCACUGGCAGUUGGGUGGGUUUCUAAUAAAGAACAUCGUCCAUGAAAAUUAUUAAAUGACUUAGUGCUGAUUUAUAUGUUGAUGGAAGAUGUGGAUUGUGUGGGAGUAUUUCACUUUUAUAGGGAAUCUAAUCAGCUCGCGGACUACCUAGCAAAAACUGGAUGCAAUAGAACAAUGCCAAUCUGGUCUUUUCUUUGAAUGAUAUUUUAUAUCUGCUGUGUCAAAAUGAGGUACGUGCACCCACUGCAUAAUAGCUUUUGUAUCUUCUCUUAAUGCUUGAAUGGUCUAUGGUUUUCUCCUAAUGCAAUUUACUCAAUGAGCUUCAAACUUCGGUUUAUCUUGAAUUUGAAGUUGCUUUUCUUGCUGGUAAGUAUCCAUCAAUUAGAAAAUUAAUUCUCUCAGGUAGGUCUUCUUUACUUUAAAAUCUGUAUAUAUAGACUGAUAUAUGUUUUUUUUUUUUCAUUAAGUUUCCAUUUCUUUGUUACCUUCACCGUUUAUAUUUCACCCUCUCUUAACUUUUAUUUUAUAAAAGUGAUUGUGAUCUGUUUCAUUUUUCUAUUUGCUAUAGCUACCUGGAUAUGCUACCUGGAUAUGAUCUUUAAGUUUUGUCUCUUCAUCCCUCUAUCUAAAGGCAUAAUUUUUAGGUUCAUCUUAAUUGGUCCCCAGUUGUAAACUUGCUUCAAUAGCAACACUUUGAUUGGUAAAUCUUGCCACUUGGAUCUAUUGUCUAAGCUUACUGUUAACGUA